rnacentral:rRNA from 1 species
UACGUAGGGCGCAAGCGUUGUCCGGAAUUAUUGGGCGUAAAGAGCUCGUAGGCGGUUUGUCGCGUCUGCUGUGAAAUCCCGAGGCUCAACCUCGGGCUUGCAGUGGGUACGGGCAGACUAGAGUGCGGUAGGGGAGACUGGAAUUCCUGGUGUAGCGGUGGAAUGCGCAGAUAUCAGGAGGAACACCGAUGGCGAAGGCAGGUCUCUGGGCCGCAACUGACGCUGGAGGAGCGGAAAAGCAUGGGGAGCGAACAGG